rnacentral:rRNA from 1 species
AACGAACGCUGGCGGCGCGCCUAACACAUGCAAGUCGAACGAGAAGGCGUAGCAAUACGCUUGUAGAGUGGCGAACGGGUGAGUAAUACGUGGGUGACCUACCCUCGAGUGGGGAAUAACCCGCCGAAAGGCGGGCUAAUGCCGCGUACGCUUCCGUCCUCACGGGGACGGAAGGAAAGCUGUACCGUGGGUACGGCGCUCAAGGAUGGGCUCACGUCCUAUCAGCUUGU